rnacentral:rRNA from 1 species
CAGCCGCCGCGGUAACACGAAGGGUGCAAGCGUUACUCGGAAUUACUGGGCGUAAAGCGUGCGUAGGUGGUGGUUUAAGUCCGUUGUGAAAGCCCUGGGCUCAACCUGGGAAUUGCAGUGGAUACUGGGUCACUAGAGUGUGGUAGAGGAUAGUGGAAUUUCCGGUGUAGCAGUGAAAUGCGUAGAGAUCGGAAGGAACAUCUGUGGCGAAGGCGACUAUCUGGGCCAACACUGACACUGAGGCACGAAAGCGUGGGGAGCAAACAGGAUUAGAUACCCCCGUAGUCCCUGUCUCUUAUAU